CGAAUUGACUAUUAAUAUGGUCACCACCGCAUAAAUCACGGAGUUGCUGAGCUUGAGAAAUAUUUCUAAGUCCCCGAGGAAGUUCGGGGAUGAUCUUUGUCAACUUGUCAAGUUUCUGGCUGAGGAGGUGAUUCUGUGCGGUUGCAGCGUCUUCGGUAGGAAGAUGUAGGAGUCCUCCUUUUUGCAUGCCCCUCUCACUCUGCGACACUUCAUUUAAAGCCAUCUCUUCAAUCAAGUUGUACGCCUCAUCUUCUGUUUUUCUAUUAAUACUGCCUCCAACUGAGGCAUCUAACAUCAUUUUGGAAUGAGCGCGCAAACCUCCAAGGAACGCAAACAAGUAUGAAGUUUUAUCGAAC
rnacentral:lncRNA from 1 species